rnacentral:tRNA from 1 species
UCCCUGGUGGCUCAGACAGUAAAGCAUCUGCCUGUGAUGCAGGAGACCCGGGUUCAACCCCUGUGUCAGGAA